rnacentral:lncRNA from 1 species
AGAAAGUCUACUACAAUGAAGUGGCUGGCUUGGCAUCACAAUCAAGCUUUCAAUGGACUCCAGAAGCCAUCCUAUAAGACUGUUUAUUGGCAUUGCGCCUCAUCACACAGGUGCAGGAAUUUGGAUUUAAAUAAAGCCAUCAAAGGCUUUGAGGCCAAAGAGUCAACAUCCAAACUUUGUUCUAAAACUUGCCCUGGUUGCUGAGUGGUGGAGAAACUGGAAGAAGGGGAGACAUGGUGAAGGUAGCAGAGGUCUUGACAGAUUCUAUCAAAGGAUUUACUCAUCAUCAGAAGAAAACUUGGAGCUUGGUUACUUUCUUCCCCUUUCUUCAGUUGGAUCGGUUUUUACGUUGAGUCACAUCAUGGGUAUAUGUGGGAACACACUAUGGAAGUCAGAAGACAUGGAGUCAGUUCUCUCCUUCCCCUUUAUGUGAAUUCUGAGGUGCAAACUCAGGUCACCAAGCUUGCUUGAUUCAAUGUAGAACUCUCAGCUACUACCCCAGCACCAUGUCUGCCUGCACACUGCCAUGUUCCCGUCAGGAUGAUAAUGGACUAAACCUGGAACUGUAGACAGGAUCUCACUAUGUAGUACCUGGAUGUCCUGGAAUACACAAGAUUUUUUUAUCAAAGGUGAGGGAGGAGGAGCAAGACCAAGAGACUCUUGGUUCUUAGCCUACAGCUUGGGAAGUCCAAAAGAACAGUACCAGCAUCUGUUCAGCCUUUUGUGGGGAUCCUGUAACCCUCAACUCGUGGCAGAAAGUCAAGGGCAAGGGUGGGUUUGGGAGACAAAACAUGAUGGGAAUUAUCCUGAACAGAAAAGCAAAUGCAUGCUAACUAGUCCCAUAUCUUACAAAAGUAAGAGUUCACUUGGGGGCAGCUCCCUUGAUUCAAAUGCUUCUUAGAGGAUUCACCACCUCUCAGCACCAUUCUAUUGGGUGGGAAUCAAGCCUCAACAUCAGCUUCAGACCACUACAUGUGGAUACGCCAAGGUAUAACCCAUGUAUAUAUUCAGGGGCACUUUGUGUGGCC